rnacentral:rRNA from 1 species
CUACUGAAUACAUAGGUAGUGGGAGGGAACGCGGGGAAGUGAAACAUCUCAGUACCCGUAGGAAGAGAAAACAAAAGUGAUUCCGUGAGUAGUGGCGAGCGAAAGCGGAGGAUGGCUAAACCGUAUGCAUGUGAUACCGGGUAGGGGUUGUGUGUGCGGGGUUGUGGGACCUGUUUUUCCAGUUCUACCCGACUGGAGGGUAGUGAGAAAAUGUCGUGGUUAACGGAAAUGGUUUGGGAUGACCUGCCGUAGACGGUGAGAGCCCGGUACGUGAAAACCUGACAUCUACCUUAAUGGUGUUCCCGAGUAGCAGCGGGCCCGUGAAAUCUGCUGUGAAUCUGCCGGGACCACCCGGUAAGCCUGAAUACUUCCCAGUGACCGAUAGCGGAUUAGUACCGUGAGGGAAUGGUGAAAAGUACCCCGGGAGGGGAGUGAAAUAG